rnacentral:sRNA from 2 species
UCCGGGCGGACGCCGAGUCCUGCCGCCGCCCGGAUGACCGGUCGACAGGAAGUGGAUCGGCAGGAGUGGAGGACCCAAGCACGACGGGUCGCCGGAACGGUCACGCCAUGGCCGGGCCGAGCAGCCCUUGGGGUGAAGCCGCGCAUCAGCGGCCGGGCAACUUCGCCAGCCCGAAUCCGACAGGUCAUCCUUCACAGGCGGCUGACGAAGGGUUG